CUGGGUCGGUCUGAUUCCUUGGGCGGAGUUUGCUCACAACAACCUUGUUUGUGGUUCCACUCGUAAUAGCCCCUUUUUCUUGAACUAUGGCUUUAACCCUACUGUUCUUCCGUCGGUGUCUCCUUCCCAGGGUAUACCGUCGGUUGAUAUUCAUAUAGCCAACCUGAGAAAGUUGUGGGAUCAGACUCGACAAAUUCUUACACGUAGUUCCGCGGUGUUCAAGUCACAUGCUGAUAGGCGUAGGCGGCCUGCUCCUAUUUUUUCUCCGGGUGAUAGGGUCUGGUUGUGUGCCAGACACAUUCGCCUGAAAGUUCUUUCCUUGAAGUUUGCUCCUCGCUACAUUGGUCCUUACAGGGUGCUGAGGAGGAUCAACCCGGUUUCUUAUUUGCUGGAUCUGCCUCCUACUCUACGCAUCCCUAACUCUUUUCAUGUGUCUUUAUUGAAACCUCUUGUUUGUAACAGAUUUUCCUCCCGCUCUGCUCCUCCAUCCUCGGUCCAUGUGGAUGGUCAGGAGGAAUAUAUCAUCAAGUCCGUCCUUGAUUCUCGUAUUUCUAGGGGGAAGCUGCAAUACCUCAUAGACUGGAAAGGUUAUGGUCCAGAAGAGAGGUCUUGGGUUCCUGGUAUAGACGUGCAUGCUCCUCGUCUUCUUCGGGCCUUCCACGUUCGUUUUCCUUCUAAGCCCGGUCCCAUCCGCCCGGUGGGCGUUUCUAGAAGGGGGGGUACUGUCAGGGUACCUGUUGGUGCUGAAUCCAGGGAAGACAUCCUCUCUGUUUAGGGGCUCCCUGCCCCUAGCAUUUCGGCAUAUUCCGGCCGUUUUCGCGCCGGCCGCGCUAGCUCCUCCCCCUUUUAUGACGCGACGGCUAGCGUCGACGUCAUGACGUCGGCAUUUACAUGAAGUGCCGGGAACCGCUAUUCCGGACCUUUUGGGGGCGUGGUCCCUAUUUAGGUAACAG